rnacentral:rRNA from 1 species
GAUGAACGCUGGCGGCGUGCUUAACACAUGCCAGUCGAACGGUGAACACGGAGCUUGCUCUGUGGGGUCAGUGGCGAACGGGUGAGUAACACGUGAGCAACCUGCCCCUGACUCUGGGAUAAGCGCUGGAAACGGCGUCUAAUACUGGAUAUGUGACGUGACCGCAUGGUCUGCGUUUGGAAAGAUUUUUCGGUUGGGGAUGGGCUCGCGGCCUAUCAGCUUGUUGGUGAGGUAAUGGCUCACCAAGGCGUCGACGGGUAGCCGGCCUGAGAGGGUGACCGGCCACACUGGGAUUGAGACACGGCCCAGACUCCUACGGGAGGCAGCAGUGGGGAAUAUUGCACAAUGGGCGAAAGCCUGAUGCAGCAACGCCGCGUGAGGGAUGACGGCCUUCGGGUUGUAAACCUUUUUUAGCAGGGAAGAAGCGAAAGUGAUGGUACCUGCAGAAAAAGCGCCGGCUAACUACGUG